rnacentral:rRNA from 1 species
GACGAACGCUGGCGGCGUGCUUAACACAUGCAAGUCGAACGAGAGCGUAGAGAUAGCUUGCUUUUUCUACAAUCUAGUGGCAAACGGGUGAGUAACGCGUAAACAACCUGCCCUACGGAUGGGGACAACAGCUGGAAACGGCUGCUAAUACCGAAUACGUUCCGAAAGUCGCAUGACUAUCGGAAGAAAGGAUGGCCUCUAUUUAUAAGCUAUCGCCGGAGGAGGGGUUUGCGUCUGAUUAGCUAGUUGGAGGGGUAACGGCCCACCAAGGCGACGAUCAGUAGCCGGUCUGAGAGGAUGAACGGCCACAUUGGAACUGAGACACGGUCCAGACUCCUACGGGAGGCAGCAGUGGGGAAUCUUCCGCAAUGGGCGAAAGCCUGACGGAGCAACGCCGCGUGAGUGAAGACGGCCUUCGGGUUGUAAAGCUCGGUUAUACGGGACGAAUAAUCUUGUGGUUAAUACCUAGCCGAAGUGACGGUACCUCAAGAGAAAGCCACGGCUAACUACGUG